CUCUCCUCACUGGGGCAGUGUUAGAGAGCUUGCCCCAGUAACAGGAGCUGUGAAGAGCUGAAGGGCUGACCAACUCAGCUACAACCCAGGCCCAGAUCCAGGCCUUGUGUUGGCCACCCCAACACCUACCCCAUCUAUGAACUGCUUGAGCAUGUAAAGGGCUGGUCCUGCAGAUCCAAAGUUAUAGAAUUUCCAUGACACAGGGUAACAACAGGAUGUCUGAGAGGAGCGCUGGUAAGGACUCAGUAUUGAUAGUGCAGCAGAAGCCAAAGGCCUUGAACCAGACCAGUGAGUCACUCAUUGCAAGGAACAUUUGCAAGAGAAGCUGUUUGGACAAAAGGGUAGACCAUGGGACACACUGACACACGGCAGCGUCCACAGUAAGAAACAAGCAACGAGUUGGAACACAUUUCUCCCAGUACGAGGGGAAGAAUCUUAUAUUCCAGAAAGGCGACGCAGAGAGAGGUUUGAUGUGGUGACUUCAGCCCCGUAAGAGCCAAGCCAUCCAUGUUCUUGCUACCCCAACAGUGUUCGUGGACUACUGAGCUUCCUUAUUUGAAGCUUUUGGUUCCAUUGGCCCAGAGAUCUGUCAUUGACUGAACACCAGCCAUCGUGACAAUGUCAGUGAGUCUGGGGAAAGCCAGCUGCAGCGUAUCAGAGUGUUUCUUCUCCCAACAACUUGGACUAGAUUCUGGAUUGAUUGGCAAAGGGCCGACUGUUGGAGGCUCCCGGAGUGGCCCAGGGCUGCAUUUUCAAUGCAUGAUUCUGGCGACUUUAAUGGAAACCACAUGAAGAGUUCCCGGGAAGCAGACCAGAUGGCUCCCAGCGAAUGUAUUUAGCCCAACCUGGAGCUAACGGAAAAACAUAGCCGAUCCCAAGAGCUCCCUGACCCUGUGACAGGGCAGGUCUGUACCUGAAGUGUCCAGAGGCCUCGAAUCAGAACAGCCCGCCUUUCAGCAGAUUAUGAAGGAAGAGGCAUUUUUAUGCAGAGCAUUCCAUUUCAUGGUGGUUUCUGUCAUUACUGGGACAGAAGAGCACGCAGCAAGAAGCUGGUCACCAUGUGGCAGUCAGGAAGCAAAAUGAGAGAAAAUCUCAGCCCAAGGGCUUUCCCGUUUUACUCCUCCAAGCCCUCAGCUUGAAUGUGAUGCUGACUAAAUUCAGAGAAGGCACUUGUGCCUCAUCUAAGCUCUGGCUGGAGAAGUCUUCACAACUACACCAAGCAGCAUUCUCGCCUGGUCUCCUAGGCACCUGUGAAUCCAAUCAAAUUGACAGGCAAGACAGACGGUCACAGAUUCAUGACGAAGAGUACACCUCGUUGGCCGCAGGAAGCUUAUGUCUUAGAGAGACAAAGCUCUUGAAGCCUGUGUGGUGGGAGGCGUGGAGCUGUGUGCCACAGGAGUGAACGGAAAUAAAGAAGGAUUAGGAGCUGAAGAGCUGGCUUUGUUGAUGCAAGCAUGAAGACCAGAGUUUACGCCCCUAGCAGCCGCAUGAAAAGUUGCACGUGGCAGCAUAUAUCUCUAAUCCCAGCUCGGAAUCAGAGGAGGAAGGAUGCCUGAGGCGUGCUGGGCAGUAGCCCAGCCAAACUGACCAGCCCGGCUUCAGCCAGAGACUGAAAAAGGUGGAGCAUGAAUGAGGAAAAGCCUUGAUGUUAACCUCUGACCCCAGGUGGGUACAACCGUGUGUGGGCAUGCC
rnacentral:sRNA from 1 species